UUUCCGUAGGUGAACCUGCGGAAGGAUCAUUCAUAAUAAAGUGUUUUAUGGCACUUUUUAAAAAUCCAUAUCCACCUUGUGUGCAAUGUUAGAUCUCGUCAAUCUUGGCGAGAUUUUUAUACAUCAACUCAUUUUUUAACUAAUUUGUCUGAAAAAUAUUAUGAAUACUUAAUUCAAAAUACAACUUUCAACAACGGAUCUCUUGGCUCUCGCAUCGAUGAAGAACGAGC
rnacentral:misc_RNA from 1 species